UGCGUUAACGAACGAGACCUUAACCUGCUAAAUAGUCCGGCCGGCUUUUGCUGGUCGCUGACUUCUUAGAGGGACUAACAGCGCUUAGCUGUUGGAAGUUUGAGGCAAUAACAGGUCUGUGAUGCCCUUAGAUAUUCUGGGCCGCACGCGCGCUACACUGACAGAGCCAACGAGUUCAUCACCUUGGCCGGAAGGUCUGGGUAAUCUUGUUAAACUCUGUCGUGCUGGGGAUAGAGCAUUGCAAUUAUUGCUCUUCAACGAGGAAUGCCUAGUAAGCGCGUAUCAUCAGUACGCGUUGAUUACGUCCCUGCCCUUUGUACGCACCGCCCGUCGCUAAUACCGAUUGAAUGGAUCC
rnacentral:rRNA from 1 species